rfam:Triticum aestivum genome assembly, contig: Triticum_aestivum_CS42_TGACv1_scaffold_160520_2DL
CUUCCGGUUCCUCUCGGAACUAUUCCAAAUAUUCAUAAAAGAAUUC